UCCUACGGGAGGCAGCAGUAGGGAAUCUUCCACAAUGGGCGAAAGCCUGAUGGAGCAACGCCGCGUGGGUGAAGAAGGUCUUCGGAUCGUAAAACCCUGUUGUUAGAGAAGAAAGUGCGUGAGAGUAACUGUUCACGUUUCGACGGUAUCUAACCAGAAGGCCACGGCUAACUACGUGCCAGCAGCCGCGGUAAUACGUAGGUGGCAAGCGUUAUCCGGAUUUAUUGGGCGUAAAGGGAACGCAGGCGGUCUUUUAAGUCUGAUGUGAAAGCCUUCGGCUUAAACGGGGUAGUGCAUUGGAAACU
rnacentral:rRNA from 1 species